rnacentral:rRNA from 1 species
CCCCUAGAUGUUCUGGGCCGCACGCGCGCUACACUGAACAGUUCAACAAGUCUUAACCUUGGCCGAUAGGUCUGGGUAAUCUUUGAACGCUGUUCGUGAUUGGGAUAGACCUUUGCAAUUAUGGGUCUUCAACGAGGAAUUCCUAGUAAACGCCAGUCAUCAGCUUGCAUUGAUUACGUCCCUGCCCUUUGUACACACCGCCCGUCGCACCUACCGAUUGAAUGGUCCGGUGAAAUCUCGGGACGGCGGCUUGGUCGCUUGCGUCCGACUGCUGAAACUUGAUUAAACCAUAUCAUUUAGAGGAAGGUGAAGUCGUAACA